CAGCCCCACGCCACUCCCGAACAUGUUGAGGCCACUAGCAGGUCUGGUGGUUGCUUAGGCUUUUUAGGAACACAUGCAUACACUCCUCGUUGGGUGUCUGAGACAGUAAAUGCACUGCCUAAAAUGGAAAUACCUGAGAACCUGGAACCUGCCUUUUGAAAGCCAGUUUCCCCCCCCCCCCCCCCCAUCCCCUCUAUCCCGCUGGGCCGCCUUGAUCCUUCCCCCUGGAUCCUUGGCAUUCUGAGUGCCUCCUGGACCCUCAGGCUGCCUGAUUGGACCGGCAGGUCUCUUAGAGUGACUGUUCUUGCCGUGCUGUAGAAAGGAGAAAAACAGCACAGCGGAAAGGCUUGAAUCCUGCAUUAUACAGAUGGGAAACUCAGCUGCACAGAACCAUCUCCCCUCCUCCACAAACAGAAGAAAGAGGAAGAGCUGGGAAGGGGAGAAGUGCCCAGGGAAAGCAGUCCAGUCCCUGAAGUUUCACCCAGGUUGGGGUGGAAGGGGCAGGCAGGGCCAGCUUCUCCUCUUGGCUCUGAGGCAGCUCCAAGCCAUCAUUUAAGCCCAGCAGUUAUUUUGGAUGUGAUGUUUUUGAAGGCCAUGGAGGUACUAAGUACCCUCUUAAUUUGAAUACCAAACAGAGAACACUGGGACAGUCUGCAUAACUCCAACCUCCACUACAUGAAGUCUGCUCGGCUGGCAUGCCAUGCAAACACACCAGUAUGUACUUCUUGCACUGCUCCCACCCACAGCUUUGAGCGCCGCCCUGGCCCACCUCCCACCCUAUGUCAUCGGCUCCAUGGAACUCAUGAUGGGGAAGCCGUCAGACCUUUGCCUUCUCACAGGAAUCACAAGAUUUGAGAUUCUGGGUUCUGCCAGCACCCUCAAUUCACGGGUCCUGCACUCCCCUCAGUGUGGAGCAGGGCGGCCCUCCUACUUGAUCCAAAGCCCACUCACACUUCAACUGGUGCAGAGGUCCGCCAACCUCAUCAGAAGAAGGGAGGAUGCAUCCAUAUCUAGAGGAGGCAGGAGGGAUCACAUCGACUUUACUGUGGACAGUAGCUCCUGAGAAGUCUAGUGUGACUGUGUGACUCCCAACUAGAAUGGAGCCCUGGAGGGCAGGGCUGUGUCUGCUCUGUGCACUGGACUAUGGUCAGUGCCUAGAAAACUGCCUGCACCUAGUGGGGCCUCAUCUCUAUAUGAUGAAUGAAUGAGCUCCAACCAGCCCCAUCACAGAUGUCUGAGUGGGCCGAGGGCCCUCCUUCUCAUCCCCAGGGAUCUCUGCUCUGGCUUCACCCAGGACAGGGACCCCUAGAUGGAAUCUCAAAUCUCCUUUUCAAAUGGGAAAACAGCUCAGCCCAAGGCCACGGGGACAAUGAUGGAUGAGGCAGAGGCUUCAUUAUGUAGAAGACGAAAAUGACUAAUUAGUACAACCACAGCCCCUGCAGCAGACCUGUCCCCAGGGCCAGCCCCACAGAGUGCUUCCCACGAGCAUCCCAGUGAGUCCCUACAAUAUCCACAUGAGGUUGAAGCUCUAUUUGCCACACUGUGCAGAGGAGCAAACUGAGGCUCAGAGAGCUGCAUUCUGAAGACUCUGAGCUAGCAGGCAGCCGAAUCCCCACUGUGCUGUGCAGGGGCAGGGUGCUUACCUUUAAACAGCAGCUCCAGCACCUGUUGGGUGGUGGCAAAAGCUCUGCAUGUGCCCAGGAGGCUGUGGGUGUAAGUGCUGUCGCUGUGCAGGAAGGCGGGCACCAGGCUCUCCCCCAGCCUCUCCAGUGUGCCGGCCUGGAUGGGCCACACCAUGUGGGUCUCGUUCCUGUUCACCGUUGAUCCAUUUUCAUCCUGGGGUGGGACAGAGGAGGGACUUGCCAUCAGAGGCAGCACCAUGGACAGCAGGAGAGCUGGGGGGCAGGAGCUCAGACCCAACUCCCAAGCCCUCAGUGACUUGUGGUAAGAGGUGGGGUAUGAGUGCCCACAGCAGGAAAAAGUUCUUGGCGUUAAAAGUAGAAUUUGAGGAGGGGAAUGAUUAAACAUUGUUAGCUGAAUACUGACAGCGUCUCCAUGUGUUAACAGCAUCGUCCCUGUGAUUUCUGAAAACAUAGCCCAUCGUAGAGAUAAGAACACAGAGGCUUUUCUUGGGGUAGAGGGAUCAGGACAGGAGCACAUGCAGGAUGGUCAGCGCAGUGCUGUGAAAAUGGCAACACAAGUCCCACAUCAGUGAGGGGCUGAGACACUGUGGGAAAGGGUCUCCCUUCUGGAAUGUUGUGCAGCCCAGUGAGGCCCCGGCCCCUGACCUGGAGGGGCCAUGGGGACGUGUUCCUCAGGAUGGCAAAUUGCCAUCUGCAGAGUAACAGACAUAGUGCCCCGUGUCCUUUUGGGGAAAAGCAUCCCUACCACUCGAGAUGAGGUGUAAGACGUGGAGAUGUGGAAGGGUUACUGGGUCAACAUGGACGCUGCGGGCAGGAGGGAAAGAGAGGAAAAUCUGUAGAAAAAUACUCUUGAUUGAAUGUGCGGUGAAAUGGUUUAAGAGUCUCUUUUCUGAUGUUCCUACAAAUACAUGGACAGUGACUUUGCAUCUGGCUGGGCAGCGAGGGUGAGUUUGAUAAGGAGGUAGGGACUCAGAUUUUUGGGGGAGCCAGCCUCUAGGAGGGAGCCCAGAGGAGUAUCAAGGUGUUCUGGGACCCGGGGUCCCCCGUUGGCUGUAUGGGGCCUUGGGUGUUGGGUGUCCUCAGCACCUGCUGUCACGGAGCCAGCACUGUUGGUGGUGUGGGGCAGCUUCCUCUCCUGCAGGGAGAUGGAGUAGAGGCCCCCGUUAAUCAGCUCCUGCCUCAUCUCUCGAGUGGAGCUCUGUAAAGACAGUGCCUGGCAGCCAAGCCCUGACCAGCCGUCUUUGCUGCCUCUCACACCUCUGUGACUCCCUCCACUCUAGACACACACACACAUCAUAGUCUGCACAGACCUCCACCAAGGAGGGAAAGGUGACAGCCUUAGGGCCUUGGAUUAAGAUUGGCACAGAUAAGAGGCACCUCAAGAAUCCCCCUUCCACCCUGCCAGCGCUGUCCUGGAGUGUGGACAUGAGAAGACCACCAGAUUAUCAGCCACCCAUCAGCUUGCUCCUGCCAAGAGUAAGUCCUCCCCCAACACUGAAGAUGAGGAGAUGGGGGCUAAGAGGGUUCACAGAGGUGGCCUGGCCUGGUUUGGCCUGGCCCUAGACCACCUUGUGUUACUUCAGGGGACCUCCCAGCAAAGGGCCAGAGGCGUCAGAGAGGAGGGUUGAGCCAACGUCUGCAGCGUCUGAAAAGUCUCUCACUCGGGGUUUCCUGAAGCCAGAACCUCAGUAAGUCAGGUUACAGCAGGAGAACAUCUUUCACUAUCGAGUGUCUCUGGCCAAGUGAGCUGGGUAUGAGGCUGUCGCUAGAAUGUGGGGGACUGGUUAUGGGGGUUCCAACUUCUGUUGGGUUCUAUUGUCAAGGAAGGGACUUCCCUUCCUAGGGUCCCUGUACUUGAGUCCCCUCCUCAGAUAACACCUGUCCAAACAGCCCUCUGGGCUGCUAAUUGCUCACCCUUGGUUCUCUAUGCAACACCAUGUCCGUGAACAGGCACACCAACACACCCCUCUCCACAGGCCCCAAGAAGAUCUGGGUGCAGCCAGGGUCCCAGCUUUGAGACAGAUGCGGACACAACUCCUCAUUCCUACUUGUUCCUGAUCCUGGAGAAGCCAUUGUGCCUCUCAGGGUCUGUCUGCCUCCUGUCUGCACAGUGAGGAUCAUUGUAGCAUGUGCUUCCUAGAGAUGUCCUCAGGCCUGUGUGGGAUGAUACCUAUAAAAUUGGAGGAGUGGUGUCACCCGUAGGUAAUGCUUCCAACCUCUUUUUUCUCUCUCUUAUCACCUCCCCUUUGUCUACUUCUCUUCUGAUCGCACCCCAUAGUCCCUACAUCUAAUGUCACUGUGUGCAUGUGUGUGACAGUGCUCAUGUUCUGGAUGCCCAGAAGAAAAUAGCCCCCACAGAGGGAGGGAUGCGCAAGAGCUUCCCCAGACCUUAUGGUUUCUAAUUCCCAAAGCAAACCCUAUGCGAGAGGUUUGAGCCUUGGCCUAGAAGGUCAGAACACACUCUUACCUCUGGAUUCUGCAUAUUGUAUGCCAUGGGCCAGUUCCUGCCUCUCUAUGGGCCUCAGUUUCCCAAUUAUCCAAGGAGGGAUUAACUUCAGAACUGCAUAAGCACGAGCUCAGCAUAAAGGUGGCCCUGGGUCCCUCCACUCUGGGUGAGGUGUGGACAGAGGUGCACUCAGAGGUUCCCCUGACCUGGGCUCCUCUUCAGACAAGAACUGGCCAAAUGCCCAUCUAGGCUGCUGAAUACUCACCCUCACCCCCAUGCCAUCUCCAUGUGUACAUAGUUAGACCAACACAGCCUUUUCCAGGGUCCCCCAAGAAAGCCUGGGUGCAGCCAGUUUCUUAAGUGGACUCCAGAGCUCUCCUGGAGCUGUUUAUGUUAGUGGAUAGCUGUCUAAGUACUGAUCUUUGGCGGGGAAUGGAAGCUGGCGUCUCCUAUGUCAUCAUUUUGAUGACAUCAUCUGGAUUUUAUAUUUUUAAAUGAUUGAAAAUGUAAAAAGAUUCCUUUCAUGGCAUGUAAAAUUAUAUAAAAUUUAAAUUUUAGGGUCCAUAAUAAAGUUUUAUUAGAUACAGUCGUGCCCAUUGGUUGACAUGUUCUCUAUGGCUGCCUUUAAGUUACAACAGCAAAGCUGAGUAUUUGCAACACAGGCCAUACGGUCUGCAAGCCUAAAGUAUUUACUCUCUGACUCUUUACAGAAAAAGCUUGCUCACCUCUGACCUAGAGAAAGAAGUCCAAACUCCUAUAUUUUCAGUGAGAUUCAGCACAACCCUGGCCACACAGAAGUUCCUGGUGACAAAUAGAAAUGGCAAGCAAUAGGAUAUAUUGGAGUCUAUGAGGAAGCCAUUUGGUGUAAACCUAAUUCGGCCUGACUUUGUUUUCCCAAAAGGGCGUGACUGUGGCCAUUGAGCACGCAUUGCAUAUCUGCUUUAAACAUUUCCUAUGGCAAGAACAAAUGGCCUUAAGAUAAAGGCGAAACUUCCCUCCACAUUGGCAUUUCCUUAAGGAUAAGCAUCUUUCCUUAGGCUAAGAACUGAUUGCUGUGCUCACCUGUGACCACCCAGCUGGAGACAACAGACUGCCACACUGCUGUGUUCAGUGAGACAGCAGACCUACCUGCUGUUUCCAUCAAUCGCUGUGCUGACAGAGCAGUCUCGUGACUAUUGUAAAAGAGACAUUUGAAUCAUAUGUGAAACAUCCUGUUUGGGGGUAUAUAACCGCUCUGCGCACCCCACUUCUUCAGUGCCCUUUCUUCCUUCAGGAAGAAAGGCCCCGGGCCAUGGUCCUCAGAUUUUAGCUCAAAAUAAACUCUCCCAAAUUUUCAUUUA
rnacentral:lncRNA from 1 species